CUCUGCUGUCACCGCCUCACCAGUUUUAGUUAAGAUUGGUCUCUUUGGCAAAGCUUGAAGAUUUAAAGUCAUGAAUUUUUCCAUCAAGGAUAAGAGGAUUUUUCAAUCUCCAUUUGAGUAACCUUGGAUCAAGUUAAUUGGAAAAUUUUUACUGUCCGCUAUGGAGUACUUUGUUUGGCUAAAAUCUCCAGGAAAAGGUAAAGGUAGAGGAAAGCUGGCGAGCGACAAAGAAGGAUCCGUGACAUGCCAUAUGGGGACUCAGUUUUGCUUCAGUGUCUAUGUAUCAGUGUUUCAGCAUUCUGUUUUUAGUGAAAAUUUAGUUUCUCUCCUUUAAAAAAAAUAGUGUCUCUUGUUUGUUUUUUUUAGUAAUGACCUCAACUUAGUAUAAAGAGUUGGGUCGUUACAAUAAUUUUAUAUUCAACUCAUCAACAAGUGUAUAAUUGAGUUCUAAAC